UCCAGCAAGUUUUACCAUUUGGAUUCACACUUGGACUUAUAUUUGAACUUUCUUUUGCUUUUUCUUUGUUUGUCCUCAUAUAUAUAUAUAUACACACACACACAUACAUAUAAAAAAAGCCAUAUAUAUAUAUAUAUGAGGACAAACAAAUAAAAAGCAAAAGAAAGUUCAAAUAUAAGUCCAAGUGUGAAUCCAAAUGGUAAAACUUGCUGGA